rnacentral:rRNA from 1 species
GAUUGAAACGACUGCUAAGACUGGAUAGGAAACAAAAAGGCAUCUUUUUGUUUUUAAAAGACCUUCUUACGAAGGUAUGCUUAAAGAGGGGCUUGCGCCACAUUAGUUAGUUGGUAGGGUAAAAGCCUACCAAGACGAUGAUGUGUAGCUGGACUGAGAGGUUGAACAGCCACAUUGGGACUGAGACACGGCCCAAACUCCUACGGGAGGCAGCAGUAGGGAAUUUUCGGCAAUGGAGGAAACUCUGACCGAGCAACGCCGCGUGAACGAUGAAGUAUUUCGGUAUGUAAAGUUCUUUUAUUGAAGAAGAAAAAGUAGUGGAAAAACUAUAUUGACGUUAUUCAAUGAAUAAGCCCCGGCUAACUAUGUGCCAGCAGCCGCGGUAAGACAUAGGGGGCGAGCGUUAUCCGGAAUUAUUGGGCGUAAAGGGUGCGUAGGCUGUUAGAUAAGUCUAUAAUUUAAUUUCAGUGCUUAACGCUGUCUUGUUAUAGAAACUGUCUUGACUAGAGUGAGAUAGAGGCAAGCGGAAUUCCAUGUGUAGCGGUAAAAUGUGUAAAUAUAUGGAGGAACACCAGAAGCGUAGGCGGCUUGCUGGGUCUUUACUGACGCUGAGGCACGAAAGCGUGGGUAGCAAACAGGAUUAGAUACCCUGGUAGUCCACGCCGUAAACGAUGAGUACUAAGUGUCGGGGUAAAACUCGGUACUGAAGUUAACACAUUAAGUACUCCGCCUGAGUAGUACGUACGCAAGUAUGAAACUUAAAGGAAUUGACGGGACUCCGCACAAGCGGUGGAUCAUGUUGUUUAAUUCGAAGAUACACGAAAAAUCUUACCAGGUCUUGACAUACUCUGCAAAGCUAUAGAAAUAUAGUGGAGGUUAUCAGGGAUACAGGUGGUGCAUGGUUGUCGUCAGUUCGUGUCGUGAGAUGUUAGGUUAAGUCCUAAAACGAGCGCAACCCUUGUCGUUAAUUGCCAGCACGUAAUGGUGGGGACUUUAGCGAGACUGCCAAUUAAACAUUGGAGGAAGGUGAGGAUUACGUCAAAUCAUCAUGCCCCUUAUGAUCUGGGCUACAAACGUGAUACAAUGGCUGUGACAAAGAGUAGCUGAAACGCGAGUUUUUAGCCAAUCUCAAAAAAGCAGCCUCAGUUCGGAUUGAAGUCUGUAACUCGACUUCAUGAAGUUGGAAUCGCUAGUAAUCGCGAAUCAGCAUGUCGCGGUGAAUACGUUCACGGGGUUUGUACACACCGCCCGUCAAAUC